rnacentral:sRNA from 1 species
AAAGUGUCGGAUUCGGGUGCUUGACGGCAAGGGCGAUUUCACUAGAGUGUAGAGUUGAAUUGAUGUUGUUUUAAUCAAUUCGGUUUUGCCUUAACCCAAUAACCUCACCUUAGAGAACACUCUAGCCGAAGGAUGAAGAUGCAUGGAGACAGGUACUGUUAAAUGGUUCAAUAACGCCAAAGGCUUUGGCUUUAUUUGUCCCGAAAGCGGCGGUGAAGAUAUAUUCGCCCAUUACUCAACCAUUCAGAUGGACGGCUACAGGACCCUGAAAGCAGGUCAGGUAGUGCAAUUCACCGUGCACCAGGGACC